rnacentral:misc_RNA from 1 species
UGACGAGACCAGAGUGC